CCUACGGGAGGCUGCAGUAGGGAAUUUUCCACAAUGGGCGAAAGCCUGAUGGAGCAACGCCGCGUGCAGGAUGAAUGCCUUCGGGUUGUAAACUGCUUUUAUAUGUGACGAUUAUGACGGUAGCAUAUGAAUAAGGAUCGGCUAACUCCGUGCCAGCAGCCGCGGUCAUACGGAGGAUCCAAGCGUUAUCCGGAAUUACUGGGCGUAAAGAGUUGCGUAGGUGGCAUAGUAAGCGAGUAGUGAAAGCGUGUGGCUCAACCAUACAUCCAUUACUUGAACUGCUAAGCUAGAGGAUGAGAGAGGUUAUUGGAAUUCCCAGUGUAGGAGUGAAAUCCGUAGAUAUUGGGAGGAACACCGAUGGCGUAGGCAGAUAACUGGCUCAUUCCUGACACUAAGGCACGAAAGCGUGGGGAGCAAACGGGAUUAGAUACCCUUGUAGUC
rnacentral:rRNA from 1 species